GAAAUGCGAUAAGUAGUGUGAAUUGCAGAAUUUAGUGAAUUAUCGAAUCUUUAAACGUACAUUGCGCCUCUUAGUAUUCUAUAGGGCAUGCCUAUUCGAGCGUCAUUUAUAUCUUUAAGCUUUACUUAGUAUUAGGUGUUUGUCCUACUCUAUACGUAGACUCGCCUUAAAUUAAUUAGUAGCUAGUAAUCUAGUAUUAAGAGCGCAGCACAUUGUGCGCUCCUCGCUGUGUAUUGCGGCAUCUAUUAAGCCUAUAUUUUUUACUCUUAACCUUAGAUUAGGUAGGGAUACCCGCUAAACUUAA
rnacentral:misc_RNA from 1 species